UACGGAGGGUGCAAGCAUUGAUCGGAAUUAUUGGGCGUACCGGGCGCGUAGGCGGUGCGGUAAGUCACCUGUGAAACCUCUAGGCUCAACCUAGAGCCUGCAGGCGAAACUGCCGUGCUUGAGGGUGGGAGAGGUGCGUGGAAUUCCCGGUGUAGCGGUGAAAUGCGUAGAUAUCGGGGGGAACACCUGUGGCGAAAGCGGCGCACUGGACCACAUCUGACGCUGAGGCGCGGAAGCUAGGGGAGCAAACAGG
rnacentral:rRNA from 1 species